UGGGCUUGACAUGUCCGGAAUCCUGCAGAGAUGCGGGAGUGCCCU
rnacentral:rRNA from 1 species